rnacentral:lncRNA from 1 species
CUGUUUUUUCAGCAUGUCUAUAGACACCUGCACAAGUGUUCAGGCAUGCUCUUCAGGUGGUGGGUAGCAGAGACUCACAAGUUGUGAUUUUGACCAUGCAGCAAAAGAAGAAGAAAAUUCUCAGUGUAUUAAGACUAUUGUACAGCAACAAAAAUGCAGAGCCUGUGUUGAGAUGUGUUGAGCAGCCUGGAUCCCUAGGCCACUUGACAGCAGAGAUGCCAUCUACCUGUGUCAGAUUUUAUGUGCAUGAGAAAGAAUCUUUUGUAGUGGUGGCUUCCCCUUCAAUGGUUACAUCUUCUCCUUGGCUCUAGCCUCCAUCAUAUUGGCUCACCAUGGUUCUAGAUCCUGUUGAAACCAACUCCUGGGCUCCUGGAACCUGAAGCUCCCCUCAAAAUAUUCCAGGACAAGCCAGAUUUGGAAUCCAGCUGCACCAAAUGAAAGAGUCCAUGUGAGGACACAGCAAGAAGAUGCCCAUAUGAAAAGCCAAGAAGAGAGCUCUUACCAGAAACGGAAUCUUC